AUGUCCGCUCCCGACCCGCCCCAACACAUCGCCCACUGGCCCAUACCGGCGGCAUCCCCUCCGGCGCCGCCGGCCACCGCCCAGUCCCAGACGCUAUCCUACCUGGCCUGCCUUGCCCGUCCGUCCCAGCCGCUGCCUUGGGGUUUUUUUGGGCCGCAGCGCUCUCCGUUGCCGGCUGCGCGAGAUUCCGAUCCAGAUCCAGCUUGGGGCUCUCCUCCGCCUCCACCUCCUGGUCGCCCUCCCGGCGUGGAUUCGGAGGUGGACUGCGUCUUGGAGACGCCGCCUGAGCUCCUCGCCCGCGCGCUCCCAACCACCACCUUCAAUUCUCCUGCUCCAGGCCGCUCCGCCAACCUGACGAGCAUUGAAGGCGUUAAUGGAGGGGACAGUUCGGGAUGGCUUGCGUGCUUUCGGCCCGUCCCUGCGCAGGCCGCUGCUGAGCAAUCACUCCCGCGCGGCGCGGCGGCUGCGGGGCUCGAGGAGGAAGCGACGGCGCCUUGGACCGAGGUCAGGCGUGGGCGGCCGCGCCCUCCGCCCGCUCCUGUUGCUGCCUUCACUCCUCGCGCCCCUCCUCCCGCAUGGAUAAAAGGUCUCUGCUUCCACUGUCUCAAGCCUCGACAUCGCGUCGUGGACUGCCGCGACCCAGUCACCUGCAGACGGUGCUUCAGCUCCGGCCACAUAGCGCGCGGCUGCACCCACGCUCCACGCCCGCACCUGCGCCCCGGCGCGCCCCCGCCCGCUCCGCGCAGAGCUCCUCCGCCCGCACCUCCCCGUGCCCGCCCGCCACCCACGUCCUCCCAGUUUGCCAUGGCUCCCUCUGCUGCGUCUUCGGCAUGGGCUGGUGACCACAGCGUCCGCCCGGAGGUGUUCGCCGUCAUCCACAACACUCCGGCCAUGCAAGCUGAGGCUGCGCUUCUGGAAUCCAAUGGGGUGGUGGCCUGGUUCGACCGUGAUUGUCGCGCCUCCACCAACAAGGUUGCGGCGGCCAUCGCAGACGGGAUUGGCGCUCUGGUGCCGGACGUGAUCGUCGUCUUCCACUUCCCCGAGCGGUUCCUGGUGCGCUUCAUCCACAAGCACCACGCGGACAUCGCAUCAUCCCGCCGCGAGCUCCCGUUCGGCGACACCAAGCUGCAGAUGAGGGCAUGGCGUUUGGAAGGCCAUGGUGAGCACGUCGACCUCGGCCACCAUGUGUGCCUCUGCCUCGAGGGGCUGCCGCUGUAUGCUUGGGAUGAAGAGGCGGUCGCCAAGGCCGUCGGCUCCGGCUGCUCGCUGGACUACAUCGAGCCAGCUUCCAAGCUCAAGACGACGACCAAGGCUCUGGCCUUGUGGGCUUGGACGCCAUGCCCAAGCAAGGUGCCAAGAGUGAGCUGGAUCACCCUCCCUGCACGCAACGGUGGCGCUCCGGUGUAUGGCCGCAAGGGGCUGGAGCAUCGGGUCCUUGUCCACCUCGACAUCCAUGAAGAUCCAUCCUCGGGCAGAGUGGUGUCCAGGCCGCACCCCUGGAUAUCAAACGUCAUCGACGGGGAGACCUUGGCUCGUGACAGGCGCGAGCGCAUCUCUCGCCCUGUCCAGCGCGACCGCCAUGACCGCCAUGGCCGUGACGACGAGGAAGACCGUGGCCGCGGGCGCGACGGCCGGGGCUCGUCCAGAGGCGGGCAAGGCUGGGGCGACCGCAUUCGCCGGAGCCUCUCCCGUGCGCCGCGCGACGGGCAGCGCGACAACGACAGGGAACGCCGUGAUGGGCGUCACGAUGGCCGUCGCCGGGAAAUCCCUGACCUUCCCGUCGUCCUUGGCGCCGCUCCGGUGCUUCUUGGCUCUGGCUCCUUGAGCGCUACUACUGUGCGUGCCAGGGAGCUGGAGCCCCUCCACCCCACCACGCCUGCUACGGCUGCUGUUGGCGCGCGUGGCUGUAGUCCGGUCAGGCAGUCGCGCCCGGCCUCUGCAAGGCGCAUAUCCAGGGAAGCACGCACUCCACCGGCGUCGCCACCGCUGUCUCCGACAACGGUGCUCCGAACCCCGCCAGCGCCGAAACGUGACGAAGCACAUGCAGCAGCAGUGGCAUCCCAGGUCCUGAGCCCGGUGCUCAUCGAGCUAUGUUUGCCAGCCACGAUGCAGCGCCCGCUCCUUGACAUCUCCCCGCUGCGGCCUCCAGGCUUUGAAGCAUCCCCAACCCCGCCACUCCAGUGCAACGGCAACCUGCAGCGAACCCCUACGCCACCCCGUGCUCGCCCCCAUGAUGCUGGGCACGACCUGCCGGCGGGCCUGGCUGAGCUCAUUGUGCCCUGCCUCGAGCUUCCGGCUACGCUCUUCUGCCCAAGGCAGCCGGCGCUCCUGCCAUCUGCAGCCACGCAACCUCCCCCUGAGGUGCCCUUGGCAUCUCCAAGGCCAAGCCCUCCAGCGGCCCGUCGAAAGACUUUGGCGGGCAUGAGAAUCUCCAAGGAGGGCGGCAUCUCUCUGCAACGGACCCGGCGACCUUCCAGCCGCACGCUGGCUGCUCCGGUGGCAAAGGUGGCCGAGCGCCUGGUUUGCCGCAGCCUGGGCAUAACCAAAGAUGGUCAAGAUGUAACUGCUUCGAUCCUGGAGGCGUUCACAGAGAGAUUCAAGGAGCAGCUCCCUCCUGAAGUGAUUGUGGCCAUGAGGGACUUCUUCAAGCUUGAUGACAGUUCUAUUAGCGCUGCUGAGGAUGCGCUGAUAGACCAUGGUGGUGCUGCGGCAUUAGACUCUGUGGGGCUGGAGCAAGACGGCCAGGGAUCGGAGCCGGCGAUCGCUUGA
rnacentral:rRNA from 1 species